AGCGAACGCUGGCGGUAGGCUUAACACAUGCAAGUCGAACGGCAGCACAGUACUUUUUUGCUGUUACCGGUUGGCGGUCGCGUACGUGACAGGUAUACAUCCUACUCUUCUUUUUCGUGUGGGUUCACGUAGCUAAACCUACUCCCAUACCGCAUACGCCCUUCCGUUGAAAGCAUUGGAUCGUUUCACCUUUCGCGGUUGGACUAGCCGAUGUCGGGUUAGCUGGUUGGCGGGGUAAAUGCCCACCAGGGCGACGAUCCGUAGCUGGUCUGAGAGGAUGGUAGGCCACACUGGAAGUGGGACGGGGUCCAGGGUACUAAGGGAGGCAGCAGUGGGGAAUAUUGGACAAUGGGCGCAAGCCUGGUACAGCCGUACCGCGUGGGUGAAGAAGGCGUUCGGGUUGUAAAGCCGUUUUGUGGGGAGAAAAAAGCAGCAGGUUAAGACCACGCGGUUCUGACGGUACCCAAAGAAUAAGCACCGGCUAACUUCGUG
rnacentral:rRNA from 1 species